rnacentral:rRNA from 1 species
CUCCAACCAUUCGUGGAGGAGGAUGCCUAAGGCAGGACUGGGUGACUGGGGUGAAGUCGGUAACAAGGUAGCCGUACCGGAAGGUGCGGCUGGAACACCUCCUUUCUGGAG